rnacentral:rRNA from 1 species
AUGUUCGCGCUCAUGGACACGGACAACAACGGACGGGUCACGCUGGACGAGCUCAAGGCCGGCCUCGCCCGGGUGGGCUCCAAGCUCAUGGAGCCGGAGAUGGAGCUCCUCAUGGAGGCCGCCGACGUGGACGAUGAUGGCUACCUCGACUAUGCCGAGUUUGUCGCCAUCACCAUCCACUUGCAGCGCCUCUCCAACGACCAGCACCUCCGCAAGGCCUUCCUCUUCUUCGACCGCGACAGCAGCGGCUACAUUGAGCGCCCCGAGCUCGCGGACGCCCUCGCCGACGACUCCGGCAGGGCCGACGACGCCGUCGUCGACCACGUCUUGCAGGAGGUCGACACCGAUAAGGAUGGUCGUGACAGCUUUGAGGAGUUCGUCGCGAUGAUGAAGGCCGGGACGGACUGGAGUCACUGGAGGAAAGCGUCGCGCCAGUACUCCAAGCAGCGCUUCAAGUCGCUCAGCAACAGCCUGAUCAAGGACGGCUCCAUCUCCAUGGCGCUGCUGACCAUCCAUCACACAUACAUUCAUAUUCCGACUGCAGAUGGUCGACCGAUGCGAUGCUUGGUUUUUGAUGUAUACAUCAAUUCAAUUGAAUUGGAUUUAAUUUCUUCCAGUAGUUUGUUCAGUAGACUGUUUGAAUCUUCUGCAGGAUUAAUGCGAAAAUGUUUUUGGUCUGGCGUUGGAUCAUGCCUGUAA